GUCCAUGUCCAUACCACCCUGAACGUGCCCAAUCUCGUCUGAUCUCGGAAGCUAAGCAGGGUCCGGCCUGGUUAGUACUUGGAUGGGAGACCGCCCAGGAAUACCGGGUGCUGUAGGCU
ensembl:rRNA 5S_rRNA 5S ribosomal RNA